rnacentral:sRNA from 1 species
UACCUGGUCGAAUCCAGGUUAUCCGCCGUGU